AGAGUUUGAUCCUGGCUCAGGACGAACGCUGGCGGCGUGCCUAACACAUGUAAGUCGAGCGAAGAACUUAUCAUGAAACCUUCGGGUUGAUUGAUAAACUUCUUAGCGGCGGACGGGUGAGUAACGCGUGAGGAACCUGCCUUCUACAAGGGGAUAGCCUCGGGAAACCGGGAUUAAUACCCUAUGACACUUAAGAUUCGCAUGAAUAUUAAGUUAAAGUGUUAGCGGUAGAAGAUGGUCUCGCGUCCCAUUAGCUAGUUGGUGAGAUAAAAGCUCACCAAGGCGACGAUGGGUAGCCGACUUGAGAGAGUGACCGGCCACACUGGAACUGAGACACGGUCCAGACUCCUACGGGAGGCAGCAGUGGGGAAUAUUGCACAAUGGAGGAAACUCUGAUGCAGCGACGCCGCGUGAGCGAUGAAGGCCUUCGGGUCGUAAAGCUCUGUCCUAUGGGACGAUAAUGACGGUACCAUAGGAGGAAGCCCCGGCUAACUACGUGCCAGCAGCCGCGGUAAUACGUAGGGGGCGAGCGUUGUCCGGAAUUACUGGGCGUAAAGGGUACGCAGGCGGCCAUGUAAGUCAGAUGUGAAAGGUCACGGCUUAACCGUGGUAAGCAUUUGAAACUGUGUGGCUUGAGUUAAGGAGAGGAAAGUGGAAUUCCUGGUGUAGCGGUGAAAUGCGUAGAUAUCAGGAGGAAUAUCAGUGGCGAAGGCGACUUUCUGGACUUAAACUGACGCUGAGGUACGAAAGCGUGGGUAGCAAACAGGAUUAGAUACCCUGGUAGUCCACGCUGUAAACGAUGAGUGCUAGGUGUCGGGGGUCAAACCUCGGUGCCGCAGUUAACACAUUAAGCACUCCGCCUGGGGAGUACGUUCGCAAGAAUGAAACUCAAAGGAAUUGACGGGGACCCGCACAAGCAGCGGAGCAUGUGGUUUAAUUCGAUGCAACGCGAAGAACCUUACCAGGACUUGACAUCCCUUGGACCGGAUUAGAGAUAAUCCCUUCUCUUCGGAGACUGAGGGACAGGUGGUGCAUGGUUGUCGUCAGCUCGUGUCGUGAGAUGUUGGGUUAAGUCCCGCAACGAGCGCAACCCUUGCCUUUAGUUGCCAACAGUAUGGCUGUGCACUCUAGAGGGACUGCCGAUGAGAAAUCGGAGGAAGGUGGGGACGACGUCAAAUCAUCAUGCCCUUUAUGUCCUGGGCUACACACGUGCUACAAUGGUCGGUACAACGGGUAGCCACUUAGCAAUAAGGAGCCAAUCCCUAAAAACCGAUCCCAGUUCGGAUUGCAGGCUGCAAUUCGCCUGCAUGAAGCCGGAGUUGCUAGUAAUCGUGGAUCAGAAUGCCACGGUGAAUGCGUUCCCGGGUCUUGUACACACCGCCCGUCACACCAUGGGAGUUAGCAAUACCCGAAGCCAGUGAUCCAACCGUAAGGAAGCAACUGUCGAAGGUAGGGUUAAUGACUGGGGUGAAGUCGUAACAAGGUAGCCGUAUCGGAAGGUGCGGUUGGAUCACCUCCUUAUCUUGCUG
rnacentral:rRNA from 1 species